UUUUUAAAAAAGGUUAAUUCCACAGAAAUGUCUUGAUUAAAAUAGUUCUUUUUCCGAGCCCACGUGAUUCUACGUUAUUAGCCUCUCUGGGCGGAAGUAUUAUCAUUGUGUAAAGGUGUUGGACAGAGUAACAGUAGAUACAAUGGCUCUGGUUGUGGGAAGUAUAGAUUUUGGCACAACCUUUUCUGGAUUGGCACAUUCCUUUAUAUACGAUCAUCAAAAGGAUCCUACAGAUGUUAAAGCAAAAAAUUGGAAUUCCGGAACUUUUAUAUCAUGCAAAGCACCGACCUGCGUACUAAUUAAUGCAGAUGGGAAAACACUUGAAGCAUUCGGCUACGAAGCAGAAAAUAAAAAUGCGGAGCUCGCUACUGAUCAAUUACACAGGGACUUUUACUUCUUUCAAACAUUCAAGAUGACGCUGUACAAUAAAGAGGGAACCAUUGGAAAAUCUACGAUGCUAGAGGACGAAACUGGCAAAAAACUUAAGGCAUUGACCGUAUUCUCGUUAACAAUAAAA